rnacentral:lncRNA from 1 species
CGACCUCCUGGGCUCUAGUGAUCCUCCCACCUCAGCCUCCUAAGUUGCUGAGACUGCAGGCACGCACCACCAUGCCUGGCUAAUUUUUUGUAUUUUUGGUAGAGACAAGGUCUUGCUAUGUUACCCAGGAUCCUGUUCUGAGAACAGGAUCAGUCUCUGAAUUAUAAAAGCAGCAACCUAUAAAUAGGAUUUUGCCUAUACUAAUAGUAGGAAUAUAAUUUUAAAAUUAAUCUUCAAUUAUACAGAUAACAUCUCAAUAUAUUCUCCUUGUAAAAGUUUGAAACAUGGUAUAAAAAACUAAAGCACCUACUGACCACUCCAGCCUAACCCUGGUUCCCCUCCCACCCCACACCUCCUGUCAGGUGUAACUGUCAUUAUCAGGCCCAAGGCAUGCAUCUGUACAUAUAUAAUUUGUGCCUUUGGGAAAGAAAUAUAUUUGUAUUUGUGUGCAUAUAUAAACAUUUUUUUAAUCAAGUAUAAUCUAUUUACUCUAAUUCACCCAAUGUUAGUGAACAAUUCUAUGAAUCUUUAUAUAUGCAUAGAGUUCUGUAACCUCUAAACACAAUUAAGAUAGAAAACAAUUCCGGCUGGGCGCGGUGGCUCACGCCUGUAAUCCCAGCACUUUAGGAGGCCGAGGUGGGUGGAUCACCUGAGGUCGGGAGUUCGAGACCAGCCUGACCAACAUGGUGAAACCCCGUCUCUACUAAAAAUACAAAAAUUAGCUGAGUGUGGUGGCGCAUGCCUAUAGUUCCAGCUACUCGGGAGGCUGAGGCAGGGGAAUUGCUUGGACCUGGGCGGCGGGGGUUGCAGUGAGCUGAGA